GUGCUCACUUCAGCAGCACAUACACUAAGAUUGGAAUGAUACACAGAUGAUUAGCACAGACCCUGUGCAAAGAUCACAUACAAAUUUGUGAAGCGUUCCAUAUAUUU
rfam:Pteropus alecto contig169432, whole genome shotgun sequence.